GAUCAUGGCUCAGGACGAACGCUGGCGGCGUGCUUAACACAUGCAAGUCGAACGAGAAUCUGUGGAACGAGGAUUCGUCCAAGUGAAGCAGAGGACAGUGGCGGACGGGUGAGUAACGCGUGAGGAACCGUGCCUUUCAGAGGGGACGAACAGUUGGAACGAACUGCUAAUACCGCAUAACACAUGGGUGUCGCAUGGCACUGAUGUCAAAGAUUUAUUCGCUGAAAGA
rnacentral:rRNA from 1 species